rnacentral:rRNA from 1 species
UACAGAGGUCUCAAGCGUUGUUCGGAUUCAUUGGCCGUAAAGGGUGCGUAGGCGGCGCGGUAAGUCGGGUGUGAAAUCUCGGAGCUUAACUCCGAAACUGCAUUCGAUACUGCCGUGCUUGAGGACUGGAGAGGAGACUGGAAUUUACGGUGUAGCGGUGAAAUGCGUAGAUAUCGUAAGGAAGACCAGUGGCGAAGGCGGGUCUCUGGACAGUUCCUGACGCUGAGGCACGAAGGUCAGGGGAGCAAACGGG